GGGGUUGUGGCUCAGUGGUAGAGUGCUUGCCUAGCAUGCAUGAGGCACUAGGUUCGAUCCUCAGCACCA
rnacentral:tRNA from 1 species